rnacentral:rRNA from 1 species
GACGAACGCUGGCGGCGUGCCUAAUACAUGCAAGUUGAGCGAUGAAGAUUGGUGCUUGCACCAAUUUGAAGAGCAGCGAACGGGUGAGUAACGCGUGGGGAAUCUGCCUUUGAGCGGGGGACAACAUUUGGAAACGAAUGCUAAUACCGCAUAAUAACUUUAAACAUAAGUUUUAAGUUUGAAAGAUGCAAUUGCAUCACUCAAAGAUGAUCCCGCGUUGUAUUAGCUAGUUGGUGAGGUAAAGGCUCACCAAGGCGAUGAUACAUAGCCGACCUGAGAGGGUGAUCGGCCACAUUGGGACUGAGACACGGCCCAAACUCCUACGGGAGGCAGCAGUAGGGAGUCUUCGGCAAUGGACGAAAGUCUGACCGAGCAACGCCGCGUGAGUGAAGAAGGUUUUCGGAUCGUAAAACUCUGUUGGUAGAGAAGAACGUUGGUGAGAGUGGAAAGCUCAUCAAGUGACGGUAACUACCCAGAAAGGGACGGCUAACUACGUG